UCAACUGUUUAUAAUUCUUUUCGCGUCAUAUGUAAGAAAGGACAAAGCAAUCUUUUUUUUUUUUUAAUUUCCUCUAAAUUUUUUAUUUUAUUUUUUUAGGGGCUGUCAAGUUCACACCAGAAUUUGAUUCAUAGCUUUUCUCGGCGGAUUUGCAUUCCAAGUAUAGUAAACAUUUUUUUAUUUAAUUUUUCGAUUUUCCGCCUUUUUAGUUGAAUCUUGAGGAAUAGUUUCGAGUGAAGUUAAUUGUAACCACGGUUCCAGUUUCGAUUCCGAUUUCAUUUUGGAUUUAAUUUCGUGUAAAAUGGCGAAGCGUGGAUAUAAGCUGCAGGAAUUUGUGGCUCAUACAGCGAAUGUGAAUUGUCUAAGUAUGGGAAAAAAGACAUGUAGGCUUCUUAUUACAGGUGGAGAUGAUCAUACAGUCAAUGUUUGGGCAAUUGGGAAGCCCACUUCUUUAAUGAGUCUCUGUGGUCAUACUAGUCCGGUGGAAUCUUUAGCUUUUGAUUCGGCAGAAGUCUUGGUGCUUGCUGGAGCAUCUACAGGUGUGAUAAAGCUUUGGGAUCUGGAAGAAACAAAGAUGGUUCGCGGACUUACCGGACACAGAUCUAAUUGCACUGCCAUGGAAUUCCAUCCAUUUGGUGAGUUCUUUGCAUCUGGUUCCAUGGACACAAAUCUAAAGAUAUGGGAUAUCAGAAAAAAGGGAUGCAUUCACACGUACAAGGGCCAUUCUCGAGGCAUUAGUACUAUUAAAUUCACUCCUGAUGGCCGCUGGGUAGUUUCUGGUGGAUUUGAUAAUGUUGUAAAGGUGUGGGAUCUUACUGCUGGAAAACUCCUGAAUGAGUUUAAGUUUCAUGAAGGACAUAUUUGCUCCAUAGACUUCCAUCCUCUUGAGUUUCUCCUGGCCACAGGUUCAGCGGAUGGAACAGUAAAAUUCUGGGAUUUAGAAACUUUUGAACUGAUUGGAUCUUCCAGACCUGAGGCUACGGGUCACUCAAUUACCUUUCAUCCUGAUGGAAAAACCCUGUUCUGUGGAUCAGACGAUGGUUUGAGGGUUUAUUCAUGGGAGCCAGUAGUUUGUCAUGAUUCUGUUGAUAUGGGAUGGUCAACACUUGGUGACCUCUGCAUCAAUGAAGGGAAGCUUUUGGGUUGCUCAUACUAUAGAAAUUCUGUUGGAGUCUGGGUAGCAGAUGUAGCACAUGUUGAGCCAUACGGGCGAAAUGACCACAUGGAGAAGAAAUUUAAUCUUGAGGGAAGUUAUUCUUCAGAGAAAGCAGGGAGUGGCAUGAGGUCAACUUUGGGAUCACGGUCCUUAUCUCCUGAUUAUGAGACCAAGGAAAUAAAGAACAUAUAUAUUGACACUGCUGGCAGUAAUACGAUUACUACACAGAAAGAUGACUCUUUCAAUUCUACAAAAGUGAUACUCCCAUUGGAUGCCAUUGAAAUAAGUAAUCUGGUCGCUGAGAAGCAGAGUCCUGGAACAGGAGUUAAUGCCAAAUCUAAUGGACAAUUGGUAAACAAGUCUUUUAUCACGCCUACCGUUGUUCCACGGGACAAUCCUGUUGGGAAAGACUCUACCAAUUCUGGAAAAGAAUCUAUCACCUUUUCAAGGACAAAACCGGGUAUGUUGCUUAAACCAGCUCAUGUUAGAAGACCAUCGGUCAACAAGUUUGAGGUUGAAAAGCUAUCAGCUGCAGUUGAAUCAGGAACUCUUAGCAAUAUAAAAAGCGAGUUAGACAGUGCAAUGGAUGUGACUUCUCAAACUAGGCUUGUAUCACAGGAUGGAGCUAGAAAAUCAUGUGAUGAUAAGGAUUCAAACAUCAAGAAUGUUAUAGAGGAAUCUAAAAAGAUGUUAUUACCACAGACAACCCCUAAUCAAGAAACUUGUAAUGAAUCCCUCAAUUGCAACAAGGAUUCAAACUUAGUCAAAUUUGUGAAUGGAGUGGCUGUUGUUCCAGGGAGAACGCGCACUCUGGUUGAGAGGUUUGAACGAAGAGAGAGAUUAAACAGCAGUGGUGAUCCGGCAACUAACAUUACACCUCCUGCUGUACCUGAAACAGAUAAAACACCAGCCCUAAUGAAAGUAGAGACACAAAUCUCUAAAAUACAGCCAAUCUCUUACAAUGAUGCAAAUAGUGCCGGAAGUCAAAUUUCUAGAAAGGAAUCAGCUUCUGGCUGUGAGGGAGGCAUUAUUGGAAGUCAGAUUCCUAGAAGGGAAUCAACCCCCACUUCUGAUGGGAUCAUUACUGGAGAUCAAAUUUCUAGAAGGGAAUUAACCCUCACCCCUGAUAGAAUGAUUGCUGGAAAUCAAAAUUCUAGAAAGGAAUCAACCUUUGCCCCUGAUAGGUUGAUUACUGGAGAUCAAAAUUCUCGAAAGGAAUCAACCUUCACCCCUCAUAGUAUCAUUACUGUAAAUCAAAUUUCUAGAAAGGAAUCAAGCUCUGCAUCUAGUGGUAUCGUUACUGGAAAUCAAAUUUCUAGAAGGGAACCAACCUCUGCUUCUGAUGGGAUCAUUACUGGAAACCAAAUUACUAGAAGUGAAUCGACUUCCAUUUCUGAUAGGAUCAUUUCUAGAAAUCAAUUUUCUAGAAGGGAAGCAACCUCUGCUAAUGAUAAGAGUGGACCAAAUGGAACAAUUACUGAAAAUCAAAUUUCUGAGAGGGGAUUGAGUUCUGCUGAUGAUGGGAAUGUUACUAUUAUUGAAAGACAAAUCUCAAAGGGAGAAUCAAUCUCUGCUAAUGAUGGAAACAUAACUGAAAGUCUGAUGCAAAUGCAUGAUAUAUUCUUAAGCACUCUUCGGUCACGCUUGACAAAGUUACAGGUGGUGCGGCAUUUUUGGGAAAAGAAUGACAUUAAAGAUGCAAUCAGUGCCCUGCGGAAGCUGCCAGAUCAUUCUGUGCAAGCAGACAUAAUCAGUGUUCUCAUGGAAAAAAUAGAGAUUCUCACUUUAGAUCUGUUUUCUGCCCUGCUUCCCGUGCUUAUGGGCUUAUUAGAUAGCAAGAUGGAAAGGCAUGUAAAUGUCUCAUUGGAGAUGCUUCUGAAGGUUGUAGCAGUUUUUGGUCCAAUGAUACACUCAACUGUUUCAGCCCCACGUGGUGUUAGUGUUGAUCUUCACGCUGAGCAGAGACGAGAAUGCUGCAAAAUCUGCUUUAUGCAGCUGCAAAAGAUUCAAAAGCUUCUUCCACCACUUGUAAGGAGAGGCGGUGUAAUAGCAAGAUGUGCACAGGAAUUGAAUCAAGUUCUUCAACAAUGACGGUGAAUGCUGCCAUCUAAAUCAUCUGCUGCUGAAGCAUGAAAAUAUGGCUUGGUUGACACCACUUUUAAAGAUUCAAGUGUCAUAGAUGGCCAUUUCGUAUCAUACAUCUCGGAUACACAAUUUUGUCUUGCUACCUUAUUAUAUUUCGAUCUACCCAUCUUCGUCGGUACCAGACUACUAGCUUGAGAACCCGAAGAGGUAGAGCAAGAUUUAAGAAUUGGCUACUUGGGCUAAGCUCUGCAAAACCAAAGAGCCAAAAGAGCCAACAAUUUCUCCAGUCUUGGUAGCACAAGUGCAAUGCAAAAUGCCAUGUGGCAAGAAUAAGAAAACAUCACCAUCAGCACAUUUAUUGGGGACUGGCUUACUCUAGCCCACAGGAACAACGUAAUCAGCAAAGCCAUACACUGUCUCUUUUCCAAGGGCCCGCACCAUUUCCUGAAUUAUGAGAGCCGUUCAUCAAUUUUUUUGUUUUUUCCUUUUGUCGAAAAAAUAAAAAAA